ACUCUGGUAGUGCAGUGGUCAGCAUACCCUCACCAAAAACAUUAAAAAUUAUAAAAUGCAGGGAGACUUGGGUUCAACCCCCAACUAGAGCG
rnacentral:tRNA from 1 species